rnacentral:rRNA from 1 species
GGGUUGUGAGGUUAAGCGACUAAGCGUACACGGUGGAUGCCCUGGCAGUCAGAGGCGAUGAAGGGCGUGCUAAUCUGCGAUAAGCGCCGGUAAGGUGAUAUGAACCGUUAUAACCGGCGAUACCCGAAUGGGGAAACCCAGUGUGAUUCGUCACACUAUCAUUAACUGAAUCCAUAGGUUAAUGAGGCGAACCGGGGGAACUGAAACAUCUAAGUACCCCGAGGAAAAGAAAUCAACCGAGAUUCCCCCAGUAGCGGCGAGCGAACGGGGAGGAGCCCAGAGCCUGAAUCAGCAUGUGUGUUAGUGGAAGCGUCUGGAAAGGCGCGCGAUACAGGGUGACAGCCCCGUACACAAAAGCGCAUGUGCUGUGAGCUCGAUGAGUAGGGCGGGACACGUGGUAUCCUGUCUGAAUAUGGGGGGACCAUCCUCCAAGGCUAAAUACUCCUGACUGACCGAUAGUGAACCAGUACCGUGAGGGAAAGGCGAAAAGAACCCCGGCGAGGGGAGUGAAAAAGAACCUGAAACCGUGUACGUACAAGCAGUGGGAGCNNNNNNNNNNNNNNNNNNNNNNNNNNNNNNNNNNNNNNNNNNNNNNNNNNNNNNGGGCGUUAAGUUGCAGGGUAUAGACCCGAAACCCGGUGAUCUAGCCAUGGGCAGGUUGAAGGUUGGGUAACACUAACUGGAGGACCGAACCGACUAAUGUUGAAAAAUUAGCGGAUGACCUGUGGCUGGGGGUGAAAGGCCAAUCAAACCGGGAGAUAGCUGGUUCUCCCCGAAAGCUAUUUAGGUAGCGCCUCGUGAAUUCAUCUCCGGGGGUAGAGCACUGUUUCGGCUAGGGGGCCAUCCCGGCUUACCAACCCGAUGCAAACUGCGAAUACCGGAGAAUGUUAUCACGGGAGACACACGGCGGGUGCUAACGUCCGUCGUGAAGAGGGAAACAACCCAGACCGCCAGCUAAGGUCCCAAAGUCAUGGUUAAGUGGGAAACGAUGUGGGAAGGCCCAGACAGCCAGGAUGUUGGCUUAGAAGCAGCCAUCAUUUAAAGAAAGCGUAAUAGCUCACUGGUCGAGUCGGCCUGCGCGGAAGAUGUAACGGGGCUAAACCAUGCACCGAAGCUGCGGCAGCGACACUGUGUGUUGUUGGGUAGGGGAGCGUUCUGUAAGCCUGUGAAGGUGUGUCGUGAGGCAUGCUGGAGGUAUCAGAAGUGCGAAUGCUGACAUAAGUAACGAUAAAGCGGGUGAAAAGCCCGCUCGCCGGAAGACCAAGGGUUCCUGUCCAACGUUAAUCGGGGCAGGGUGAGUCGACCCCUAAGGCGAGGCCGAAAGGCGUAGUCGAUGGGAAACGGGUUAAUAUUCCCGUACUUGGUGUUACUGCGAAGGGGGGACGGAGAAGGCUAUGUUGGCCGGGCGACGGUUGUCCCGGUUUAAGCGUGUAGGUGUGUGUUCCAGGUAAAUCCGGUUCACUUUAACACUGAGGCGUGACGACGAGGCACUACGGUGCUGAAGCAACAAAUGCCCUGCUUCCAGGAAAAGCCUCUAAGCAUCAGGUAACAUCAAAUCGUACCCCAAACCGACACAGGUGGUCAGGUAGAGAAUACCAAGGCGCUUGAGAGAACUCGGGUGAAGGAACUAGGCAAAAUGGUGCCGUAACUUCGGGAGAAGGCACGCUGACACGUAGGUGAAGUGAUUUACUCAUGGAGCUGAAGUCAGUCGAAGAUACCAGCUGGCUGCAACUGUUUAUUAAAAACACAGCACUGUGCAAACACGAAAGUGGACGUAUACGGUGUGACGCCUGCCCGGUGCCGGAAGGUUAAUUGAUGGGGUCAGCGCAAGCGAAGCUCCUGAUCGAAGCCCCGGUAAACGGCGGCCGUAACUAUAACGGUCCUAAGGUAGCGAAAUUCCUUGUCGGGUAAGUUCCGACCUGCACGAAUGGCGUAAUGAUGGCCAGGCUGUCUCCACCCGAGACUCAGUGAAAUUGAACUCGCUGUGAAGAUGCAGUGUACCCGCGGCAAGACGGAAAGACCCCGUGAACCUUUACUAUAGCUUGACACUGAACAUUGAGCCUUGAUGUGUAGGAUAGGUGGGAGGCUUUGAAGUGUGGACGCCAGUCUGCAUGGAGCCGACCUUGAAAUACCACCCUUUAAUGUUUGAUGUUCUAACGUGGACCCGUUACCCGGGUUGCGGACAGUGUCUGGUGGGUAGUUUGACUGGGGCGGUCUCCUCCUAAAGAGUAACGGAGGAGCACGAAGGUUGGCUAAUCCUGGUCGGACAUCAGGAGGUUAGUGCAAUGGCAUAAGCCAGCUUGACUGCGAGCGUGACGGCGCGAGCAGGUGCGAAAGCAGGUCAUAGUGAUCCGGUGGUUCUGAAUGGAAGGGCCAUCGCUCAACGGAUAAAAGGUACUCCGGGGAUAACAGGCUGAUACCGCCCAAGAGUUCAUAUCGACGGCGGUGUUUGGCACCUCGAUGUCGGCUCAUCACAUCCUGGGGCUGAAGUAGGUCCCAAGGGUAUGGCUGUUCGCCAUUUAAAGUGGUACGCGAGCUGGGUUUAGAACGUCGUGAGACAGUUCGGUCCCUAUCUGCCGUGGGCGCUGGAGAACUGAGGGGGGCUGCUCCUAGUACGAGAGGACCGGAGUGGACGCAUCACUGGUGUUCGGGUUGUCAUGCCAAUGGCACUGCCCGGUAGCUAAAUGCGGAAGAGAUAAGUGCUGAAAGCAUCUAAGCACGAAACUUGCCCCGAGAUGAGUUCUCCCUGAGACUUAGAGUCUCCUGAAGGAACGUUGAAGACGACGACGUUGAUAGGCCGGGUGUGUAAGCGCAGCGAUGCGUUGAGCUAACCGGUACUAAUGAACCGUGAGGCUUAACCUUACAACGCCGAAG